GACAUGGUGGCGAAAUUGGUAGACGCUAUGAUGUGUCGAGAAUGCGCAUAGACACUACAAAACCUAAUAAUAACCAGGCUUAGCGGCUUAAAUAAAAUAGGGUUUGCAGGUUCGAGUCCUGCCCAUGUCA
rnacentral:tRNA from 1 species